CACCUGACGGCAGUCUAUGCUAUCAACUCUCUGUUCUGGAUUUACCUAACCACACAAGGCAUUGACCCCAAGGACCACCCAAUCAAGAGUGAACUGGACAGAAUACGCAGCUACAUGAACCGUGUCAAGGAGAUAGAGGACAAGAGGAAAGCUGCUAAAGUGGACAAGGCUGCUGCUAAGAGAAUUGUGAAGAAUGCUCUCUGGGAGCCAUCCAAGCAGGCAGCAGGGUCACAGGUCAAGCAAACAUCAGAGAAGAGGAAACAAGAUGACAGAGUUGGACCUCAGGCUAAGAAGAAAAAGGAGUGAGCACAAACAAAGACUGACAUGAACAUGAAAUAAGACAGAAGAUGGAAGGCUGGUGCAACUGAGACUCUCAGUUCAGUGUGAGGUGGUCCAUGAGCCUCCAACCAUAAAGUACUCUCCAAGCAGACGUUUGGGUUUGGGGUUAUUUUUGGUGUGUUUUAGGCUUUUUUAUCAGGUUUCUCUUUUGCACUGGAAUUUUUUUAAUCACCCAACCCAACCAAACACGCCAAAAAUAACCCCAAACCCAAACCUCUGCUUGGAGAGUAACCAUAAAGCACAAAAGAGUGAGGACAGAGAUUUCCAGUGCAGUCUUACUUUUUAAUACGCCCGGGAAUCAAUACAGCAUGUAUAUUUUUACAAUUCCAUCCAUGUAUUAACAUUACUAGUAUUACGCUACCAAUUUUUCCACUGAUUACUAUAGUGUUGGAAGUUCUAGGAACCACACAUUUGCAUGGAGAUAACCUACAAUCACAGGCAACAAUGUUCAUAUCAUGUCUAAUUAUGUAUGUUGUAUUACAGUAUUUAUGGCAUCUAAUUAAACCAUUUUCAAAAAGUUUAUUAAAGACUAGUAUUAUUUCA